UACGAAGGGGGCUAGCGUUGCUCGGAAUCACUGGGCGUAAAGGGCGCGUAGGCGGCCGAUCAAGUCAGGGGUGAAAGCCUGUGGCUCAACCACAGAAUUGCCUUUGAUACUGUUUGGCUCGAGACCGGAAGAGGUUGGUGGAACUGCGAGUGUAGAGGUGAAAUUCGUAGAUAUUCGGAAGAACACCAGUGGCGAAGGCGACUAACUGGACAUGUAUUGACGCUGAGGUGCGAAAGCGUGGGGAGCAAACAGG
rnacentral:rRNA from 1 species